rnacentral:rRNA from 1 species
GUGGGGGAUAUUGCGCAAUGGGGGAAACCCUGACGCAGCAACGCCGCGUGAAGGAUGAAGGUUUUCGGAUUGUAAACUUCUUUUAUUUAGGACGAAGAAUGACGGUACUAAAUGAAUAAGCUCCGGCUAACUACGUGCCAGCAGCCGCGGUAAUACGUAGGGAGCAAGCGUUAUCCGGAUUUACUGGGUGUAAAGGGUGCGUAGGCGGCUUGGUAAGUCAGAUGUGAAAUGUAUGGGCUCAACCCAUGCACUGCAUUUGAAACUAUUGAGCUUGAGUGAAGUAGAGGUAGGCGGAAUUCCCUGUGUAGCGGUGAAAUGCGUAGAGAUAGGGAGGAACACCAGUGGCGAAGGCGGCCUACUGGGCUUUAACUGACGCUGAGGCACGAAAGCGUGGGUAGCAAACAGGAUUAGAAACCCUUGUAGUCC